UACAGAGGUGGCAAGCGUUGUUCGGAAUUACUGGGCGUAAAGGGCGAGUAGGUGGCCAUCUAAGUCAGACGUGAAAUCCCUCGGCUUAACCGGGGAACUGCGUCCGAUACUGGAUGGCUUGAGUUUGGGAGAGGGAUGCGGAAUUCCAGGUGUAGCGGUGAAAUGCGUAGAUAUCUGGAGGAACACCGGUGGCGAAGGCGGCAUCCUGGACCAACACUGACGCUGAUGAGCGAAAGCCAGGGGAGCAAACGGG
rnacentral:rRNA from 1 species